rnacentral:rRNA from 1 species
GUGGGGAAUCUUCCGCAAUGGACGAAAGUCUGACGGAGCAACGCCGCGUGAACGAUGACGGCCUUCGGGUUGUAAAGUUCUGUUAUACGGGACGAAUGGUGCGACGGUCAAUACCCGUCGUAAGUGACGGUACCGUAAGAGAAAGCCACGGCUAACUACGUGCCAGCAGCCGCGGUAAUACGUAGGUGGCAAGCGUUGUCCGGAAUUAUUGGGCGUAAAGGGCGCGCAGGCGGCGUCGUAAGUCGGUCUUAAAAGUGCGGGGCUUAACCCCGUGAGGGGACCGAAACUGCGAUGCUAGAGUAUCGGAGAGGAAAGCGGAAUUCCUAGUGUAGCGGUGAAAUGCGUAGAUAUUAGGAGGAACACCAGUGGCGAAAGCGGCUUUCUGGACGACAACUGACGCUGAGGCGCGAAAGCCAGGGGAGCAAACGGGAUUAGAUACCCUUGUAGUCC